AACGAACGCUGGCGGCAGGCUUAACACAUGCAAGUCGAGCGCCCCGCAAGGGGAGCGGCAGACGGGUGAGUAACGCGUGGGAAUCUACCCAUCUCUACGGAAUAACGCAUGGAAACGUGUGCUAAUACCGUAUACGUCCUUCGGGAGAAAGAUUUAUCGGAGAUGGAUGAGCCCGCGUUGGAUUAGCUAGUUGGUGGGGUAAAGGCCUACCAAGGCGACGAUCCAUAGCUGGUCUGAGAGGAUGAUCAGCCACACUGGGACUGAGACACGGCCCAGACUCCUACGGGAGGCAGCAGUGGGGAAUAUUGGACAAUGGGCGCAAGCCUGAUCCAGCCAUGCCGCGUGAGUGAUGAAGGCCCUAGGGUUGUAAAGCUUUUUCACCGGUAAAGAUAAUGACGGUAACCGGAGAAGAAGCCCCGGCUAACUUCGUGCCAGCCGCCGCCGUAAAAC
rnacentral:rRNA from 1 species